rnacentral:tRNA from 1 species
ACCCCUGUGACGCAAUUGGAAGACGUGGCCGACUCAGACUCGGUGGUUUGCAGGUUCGAGUCCUGUCAGGGGUA